GAUUUAUAAUCUUGACGGAGCACCUUCGUCGAUAAGAUUAUAGAUUUAGUCGAACGUACUGCUGAUGCCCUGUAGGUAACUUUUAUCUACAUUAUCUACAAUGGUAUUUCUUACUAGCAACUGGUUCUAUAUCUUCAACGUGGAGUCCCAAACUUUUGAGAAACAUGUCCUCUUCGUAACCCACUUUGUACGGCAUGGUGGCUUCUGGUGAUUUGUUCAAGAACUCUACGGACACUGCAAAUCCGGCCAUAUCAAUUGGGAAUUCUCUAUCGGCCGACCACGAGUCGAAGAAGCCAAUCACUUUGCCCUUAAGAAUGUCAAGAACUUUGAUUGCUGCGAUGAUAACAGUCCAAAAUUGUAACAGGCAAUAAAAAGUACAGAUUUAUGAUA
rnacentral:lncRNA from 1 species